rnacentral:rRNA from 1 species
AACAAACGCUGGCGGCAGGCUUAACACAUGCAAGUCGAGCGCCCCGCAAGGGGAGCGGCAGACGGGUGAGUAACGCGUGGAAACGUACCCUUUGCUACGGAAUAGCUCCGGGAAACUGGAAUUAAUACCGUAUGUGCCCUACGGGGGAAAGAUUUAUCGGCAAAGGAUCGGCCCGCGUUGGAUUAGCUAGUUGGUGGGGUAAUGGCCUACCAAGGCGACGAUCCAUAGCUGGUCUGAGAGGAUGAUCAGCCACAUUGGGACUGAGACACGGCCCAAACUCCUACGGGAGGCAGCAGUGGGGAAUAUUGGACAAUGGGCGCAAGCCUGAUCCAGCCAUGCCGCGUGAGUGAUGAAGGCCUUAGGGUUGUAAAGCUCUUUCACCGGAGAAGAUAAUGACGGUAUCCGGAGAAGAAGCCCCGGCUAACUUCGUGCCAGCAGCCGCCGUAAGAC